UACGUAGGGGGCAAGCGUUGUCCGGAAUCAUUGGGCGUAAAGCGCGCGUAGGCGGCCCGGUAAGUCCGCUCUGAAAGUCCAGGGCUUAACCCUGGAAAGCGGGUGGAUACUGCCGGGCUAGAAUCCGGAAGAGGCGAGUGGAAUUCCUGGUGUAGCGGUGGAAUGCGCAGAUAUCAGGAGGAACACCAAUAGCGAAGGCAGCUCGCUGGGACGUGACUGACGCUGAGACGCGAAAGCGUGGGAGCAAACAGG
rnacentral:rRNA from 1 species